rnacentral:rRNA from 1 species
GACGAACGCUGGCGGCGUGCUUAACACAUGCAAGUCGAACGGAGUGGCGAACGGGUGAGUAACACGUGGGUGAUCUGCAUUGAACUUCGGGAUAAGCUUGGGAAACUGGGUAUAAUACCGGAUAUUGCAAGAUGAGCGUGCGGCCUAUAAGCUUGUUGGUGGGGUAAUGGACUACCAGGGCGGCGAAGGGUAGCCGGCCUGAGAGGGUGUACGGCCACAUUGGGUCUGGGAUACGGCCCAGACUCCUACGGGAGGCAGCAGUGGGGAAUAUUGCACAAUGGGCGGAAGCCUGAUGCAGCGACGCCGCGUGUGGGAUGAAGGCCUUCGGGUUGUAAACUCCUUUCGACAGGGACGCGGUACCUGUAUAAGAAGCACCGGCUAACUACGUGCCAGCAGCCGCGGUAAUUC